AGGGAAUUUUCCACAAUGGGCGAAAGCCUGAUGGAGCAACGCCGCGUGAACGAUGAAGGUCUUCGGAUUGUAAAGUUCUGUUGUCAGGGACGAACCAGUGCCGUUUGAACAAGGCGGCACCCUGACGGUACCUGACGAGAAAGCCACGGCUAACUACGUGCCAGCAGCCGCGGUAAUACGUAGGUGGCAAGCGUUGUCCGGAAUUAUUGGGCGUAAAGCGCGCGCAGGCGGCUAUGUAAGUCCGGUGUCAAAGCCCGGGGCUCAACCCCGGUACGCAUCGGAAACUGUGUAGCUUGAGUGCAGAAGAGGAAAGCGGUAUUCCACGUGUAGCGGUGAAAUGCGUAGAGAUGUGGAGGAACACCAGUGGCGAAGGCGGCUUUCUGGUCUGUAACUGACGCUGAGGCGCGAAAGCGUGGGGAGCAAAC
rnacentral:rRNA from 1 species